UUUAUUUUAUUGCAGUCAAAAGCAUUUUUUUGCCAAAAUAUUCCCACCUAUAAUACUGUGGUUAUCCAUUUUUGUUCUCAGAAAGGCUGAUAAAACUUUCCUGUGAUAUGGUAAAUGUCCUAAUCUGAACAAAAUCCGAUUGCUUUUGUGUCAUGGGUUGAGGUGUCUGGGUUUUUCCAGGGGGAGGGCUACAUAUGGUGGCUUCAGUUAGAAGCUGCUAGAAGUCUCCUCACCCAAUGAAACCAAUGACAGCUGGCUACAGGAGUGACAUCCUGCUCCUGGCCAAGGAAGCCUCUGUGAUAACUUAUUUAAGAACAAGCUGUUGCGCAGAAGAAUUUCUCCAGCCAGAGUAGAGCUGAACGAAGCCCCCGGGCGGCCCCGCUGCCUCCCUGCCCCAGGGCAGAGGGGGAAGGCAGCGACAGCCCGGCCCGGACCUCUUGGCACCUAGCCUGGAGCAGGCACUGGUGGCCCCUGCGAAGGGGUGACCAGAGCCAGGGCUGGGGCCGGGGCUGGGGUGUUUUGCCCCAAGGAGAGUGGCCCUGCAGCCCCUGGGCCCACCCCGUGAGCAGCCCAUGCUGGAGCCUGUCCUGUCAGAGGAGCUGAACAGCACUGACAGCGCCAAAGACCCCAAGGUGAACUGCAAGGGGUGAGGGGAAGUGCCCCGUGGGCUAGGCCAGGGUGGCAGAGUGGCCCCUGCUGGCGGGCACUGCCCUCCCCUCCACUCCCCAGCCGAGUCGAGACAGGCAGGGGCUGGGGCAGCCCUCUGCAGUGUAGCCAAGCCCAUGCCGGAGCAGAUGGAUGCAUGGAAGAAGGCCAUUACCCCCCGUGGAAGGCCCAGGAUGGAGCGGAGUCCUUCAGGAGACUUGUAGCCCACGGAGAGGAAAAUCCAUGCCAGAGCAGGAUAUUCCCAGGGAGAUCCAUGUGAAGUUCUCCUGUUUUGAAAUGGUUGUUAUGUCUAUUUGGAUGAAGAUUACCUUUUCUACCAAAGGUUGCCAUGAAUUCAGGAUCACUAAACACAGCAGAUGAUGGUAAAGAAAUUAUUUGUGGACUUUUGCAAAAAAAAAUUUUCUACAGAUGCUGCUAAAAUGAAGAGAAUCACAUCCAGUCAGAAAAAAAAAAAAACAAAA